rnacentral:snRNA from 1 species
UCUCGGCCUGUUGGCUAAUAUCAAGUGUAGUAUCUGUUCUUAUCAGAUUAAAAUCUGAUAUGAUGCUUAUGGAGUCUCGUGAUUUUAAUCUACUUUUGAACUCCCGGCACGAAGUUCGGUAUUUAUACAGCCCUUGCCACAGGUUGGCCCGCUAUUGCAUUCUAUGCGGGAGCGGCCUUCAUAAA